rnacentral:rRNA from 1 species
UACGAAGGGGACUAGCGUUGUUCGGAAUCACUGGGCGUAAAGCGCACGUAGGCGGGUCUGUAAGUAGGGGGUGAAAUCCCAGGGCUCAACCCUGGAACUGCCUUCUAGACUGCAGGCCUUGAGGUCAGGAGAGGCGAGUGGAAUACCGAGUGUAGAGGUGAAAUUCGUAGAUAUUCGGUGGAACACCAGUGGCGAAGGCGACUCGCUGGACUGAUACUGACGCUGAGGUGCGAAAGCUAGGGGAGCAAACGGG